UGGUUUUUGUCAAAUUAACCGUGGGAAGAG
rnacentral:piRNA from 1 species